GAGCUCUCCUGUCACCAGUAUUGAUUUCAGAGGAUGGACUAAAUUUCCUAGGAUUUCCAUUAAGAAUUAAGAAAAAAGCUCUAAGCACGCAGGGUAGCCAGACAGACAUGGAUAUGAGAUGGCACUGUGAAAACUCGCAGCUGAUAUUUGAAUCUCCUGAAGGCCUCCUUCCCUCAUCACUCUAGCAUAGAGAAUGGAGCUAAGGACAAUAUUGUGGAGUAGGUAGGCAAUUUCCAGUAUGCAGAAAAAUUGGAGAGAGUCACAGACAAUUAUACAUUCAUGGAUAUAUCUAGGGUCUUUUGGCACAUUAAAGACAAUAUGAGUUCAAACCGAGUAACAACUAUUAAAAAGCAGAAAUAUAUGAGAGAUAGUUUAUAUUUUUGCAUCAUAAACUAUGUGUAUUAUCACUACCCAUUUCCAUUUGCUCCUCAAAUUUUCACCUUUAUUUUAAUUCAUUUGAUUAAUCAUAAGUAACUAGCUCACAUUUCCCAAAAAUCAAUGAUAAUUUUUUUCAGUGUUGUGCUAUAUAUUUUUUGAUCUGUGGGUUAAGCCACAAUUCAUUUUCUUGGGAAUAAAAAACAUUCAAAUACUUGUUUUACUAUUUUCCCAUAACUAUAAUGUAUAGCCUUUUGUUAUAAAGUCUCCAUUACUUUAUUCAUUACUUUGAAAGACAAAAACUAUUUAUCAUGGUGGGAAUGACUUGAAUAUUAUUUUGGGGAGCCAAAAUAAGUCAGUUCCCAAAAGAAAUUAGUUCUGCAGUCUUUAUGCUCUCACCUUUGUUCCCCCUGCUUUUUUAUUAAAAUGUAAUGAGUCUUGUAGGAUUCCACCAUCUUGGCUCUAAGCCUGUUUCAGAUUUUUGAUGAAAAACAUGAUUACAUAAGUUCACAGCCUAAAUUUAUUAGUAAAGUCAUGGAUAAAGUGAAGGCUUAACAGUAUGGGGAAAUGCCAUUACCUGGCUGACUUAACAUCGUUCAAGUUGAAAACUCUACAGGAGUAUAUCAGUCUACGGCCAUACCACCCUGAAUGCACCCAUUCUCAUCUGAUCUCAGAAGCUAAGCAGAGUUGAUCCUGACCACAGAUGACAUCCUUGUGGCCUCAGCAGAGUGUCCCAGCGAUGAUGAGGACAUUGACCCCUGUGAGCCGAGCUCAGGUGGGUUAGCCAACCCAACCCGAGCAGGCGGCAGAGAGCCGUAUCCAGGAUCAGCAGAAGUGAUCCGGGAGUCCAGCAGCACCACGGGUAUGGUCGUUGGGAUAGUAGCCGCUGCCGCCCUGUGCAUCCUUAUCCUCCUCUAUGCCAUGUACAAGUACAGAAACCGGGAUGAAGGCUCAUACCAUGUGGACGAGAGUCGAAACUACAUCAGUAACUCAGCACAGUCCAAUGGGGCUGUUGUAAAGGAGAAACAACCCAGCAGUGCGAAAAGCUCCAACAAAAAUAAGAAAAACAAGGAUAAAGAGUAUUAUGUCUGAUCCCAAGAUCUUAAAUGGACACUUGUAUAGAAAUAGUCUUCAUUUUAUCUGAGACAUAAUAUAAACUUACUUACUUUCCUUUUUAUGAAGCACAUACAAAAGAAGACAGGGAAUGCAAUCAGGAAGGAAAGACUUUUUAAAAAAUAAAAACAAGUAUCUCAUGCUCUUGUUUCUCAAAAAAGAAAAACAAAAAACAAAAAACAGGGGCCAAUAAAUUCCCUAACAUCCACAGUGUUUUCAUUUACUCUGCUUGUCUUUAUGUUGCUGGAACAUUUCUAAAAGACAGUGAUGACCGCACGCAUUCAUAAAGCAAAGGAGUACUACAGCAUCAAGGCACAACACAAAAACCAACACAAAACAUAACACAAAAAAGAAGCUACCUAUGAUCCUGGAUUUAGCCAAAGUGCUAGCGCUUUCCUGAGAAGUCAGUUAGUCCAAUUGCCAGAGAAGACUGUCCUUUUGAGUGACUCAACCUGCAAACCUUUAAGAGUUUGCCGCCUGGUGCAACUGGAGCAGUGGUUGGAACUUGCAUUUGAAACAAAGUGCUGGCUUUUUUGAAGACUUGUGUAGGAACACAUUCAAAAAGCCCCUUUCUGGUUGUGAGAGAGGAAAAAAAAGUAUGGAGGCCUUAUUUUCAAAAAUGUGAAAUAUAAGGCACGUUUUCACACAAAAUUUCAAAACAAAAACAAGAGGGCAUAGAUGCAAUCAUUGGGAAAUUUUCAUGCACGCUUAUUAUGUUAUUACAUAUGUUUAUAUAAAAUCCAUCUCUGUGUGCUUUCUGGACUGUGAUAAGUGAUGUUUUAUAGCCUGUUGUAUAGAAAAUGCAAAAUAUAUCUCUGCUCUUCAGCCAUUUUUGGUAAAUUCAAUGUUAUAAGUGUUGCUAAGUAUAGGGAGUUUUAUGACAUCAGAGCAACAAUUAUUUCAGUUGGGUUUUUCUUUUUUUUUUGCCACCAUUAUAAAUUGCCACAAUUACUUACUUUUAUUUUUUAAAGAAAUUACAGUGUAGUGUUUAUUCUAAGGAAGAUAUGUAUGAAUGUAUAUACAAAGACUCAGCUACUUCUUUUCUUAUAUGUACAGCCUUCAUUCUGUUGCAAUUAAGUUUUAGUACUUGUAUGAAAGGUGUGAAUUAGAAAGUCACAUAUAUACAUAUGUAUCUUAUAAUCUUUUCUCCCUGAAAUACUCACAUUCCCACAUACAUUCACUAUUUUAACACACACACACACACACGAAUCCACAGCAAUCCAUCAGAUAUGCUGGAAGAUCCAAACGUGCAUACAGUAGCAAAUAUUUAUUGACAAAUUGAAAAGCAGGAAGGAAGAGGGUUGUGCCAAGGUAUUGAUGACAAAUGGGGUGAUUUGCUUCAUUGAGAUCUUGCUCCCAGGUAACCUUAAGAAGAUUUUAGUCCCUAAUGAAAUGAACCUUUCCUUAUCAAAUAGAAUAUCACUGAUAUACUGCUGCAUGAAUAAGAACCAUUAUGUGGGCAGGUUAUGGAAGCAAAAUUGUUUAAUCUACACCUUAACUCUGGCUGCUGCAAUUGAAAACUUUCUUUCUAAUAAAAUAAUAUAUAUAUCUCUGAAUCUGAUGUGCAUGAUGAACAUUUCUGGAAAGUAAACACUUUCUCUCGACUAAGAAAGUAUUUUUCAGUAAUUUUUGAUUCUGUAUUACUACCCACUUAAAAAAUCAUUCUCUGUUAAUUAUUGACUAUGUUUUAACUUUUCUGGUUUUACAUAUAUAUCAUUAAAUAUAGUUUUAGUUUAACACAUUAAGUAGUAGAAAAUUAUAGAUUAUACACUUGUUUUGCAUAUUAUUCAAUGAUGUUCACAGCAAUAAAUUAC
rnacentral:sRNA from 1 species